AUGGAGCUGGAGGCAAACUUGCCUUCGGCGGCGGCACGAAGGUCGUCGUGUCAACAGCGGAUUAAUAAGUAUGAGUUCACGUCGAGUCUGAGACGGUUCUCGUCUCUGAGAGGUUUUCAGUCAGCUGUCAGUCACAGUGUGACGGUCGGUAUCGACAGAGUGAUUUUUGGGAAAGGAACUCGGCUCAUCAUCGACUCCGGGGACAAGUACGAGCCGUCUUACCACAAACUGCAGGGAAAUGACUCGGCGGCGUGCCUCGCCACCGGAUUCACCCGAAUCAACGAAGUGAACGAGACGCUUUUCAGCGGCACGGAGGCCGUCAGGAUAUCUGGCGAGUCCGUGUACACCCAGGUCGCUGUCCUAACAACUGAAGACAAAAAACAAAAAUGUGAUGAAUUGGAGGCCGGCUCUGGUGACUGUGGAGAUCCUUUGAAUCGAGACCCGAUGGUCAACCUGAUGUCUCUGACCGUCGUGGGCCUCAGGCUGAUCUUCAUCAAGACCAUCAUCUUCAACGUCCUGAUGACCUUCAAACUGUGGAUGAGUCAGUAAACUUUGCAGACGGCCGACAGAGAAAAGCUCGAGCACGAGCUGCUGGAUUCAGAGAAAGACUCCGAACCUUCGGCUUCAUGUCGUCUUUUAUUUGUAUGAUGUGUAAUUAAUUGUAUAAAUAUCAAACUACCUGCUACUCUGUUUAUAUAAUCUCACGUUCAAAACCUUCUAAUGUCGUCUCUGUGAUGUUUGAAAACUAGAUUUGUUGCUUCUGAUGAUUUCUUUUAUCUCUCUGUUAAUAUCACAUUUAAAUGAUUGUCUGCCUUAGUUAAAAAUAACUCAAGAAAUGUUUUUAAAACUGCUUUCUGUGUGAUGAUGUGAAAUAAAGUCUGAAAUAAUAAAACA